rnacentral:lncRNA from 10 species
CCAUGACUUUAAUCAUUUCCUCACCAGAACUUCAAUUAUGCCAAGCACUUUUUAAUUAUCCUGUGGCCCACAAGUCUAUUCUUAGUAAAAGUCUGAUUUUAUGGAGGCAGUCUUCUCCUCUGUGGCAAAAAUCAACUCACCACUUAGCAACUCCACCCAUGAAAAAGCCCUGUGAAUUAAAAGCUACUAAAUUAAGUGUGUAUUUUUAACAGCUUCAAUUUUGAAGUCUGUUUUGGCAUAAAAGUUGAAGACUUUUUUUUGAAGUACAAAAAUGCUAUGUUGGCAUUUCCUGGUAUUUUCAGAAUGCAAUUUGUUUUUUGGGUUGUCCCUUUUACAAAGUUAGUUUCUUAUAACAUCAAUUUUUUUUUUCUAAGGGGAAUAUAUGUAAUCAACUUGCCCUAUCACUUUGUCUUUUUUAUCUUAUUUUAAAAAAGCAAAUUCUGAACCAAGAAGAACAAUGAAAUAAAAAGAAUUUCUGUGUGAGGCAGGGCUGUAGGAUAGGAGGAGAAGGUUUGGGGGCACAGGGGGAAGCAGAGGAAUCACAGAGCUGAAGUGUAAAUGGGCUCAGUGUUUCCUGCACAGAUCAAAACCUGGAACAGAAAUCUAGAAAUUAAGAAAAAGUAAGGCACGUAGAAUUAUUAUGCUUUUUACUAUUUUCAUUUCAUAGUAAUGGAAAAUCUGUUUUUCCCAAUUAAUACAAACACAAUACAAAGUCAUUUUAGGAAAUGCUUGUAUAAGGCUAAUGCUUAUAAGAUAUAUUAAACACUAGUAUAUAAUACAUUCAUUCAAGAAAUAAUAAGGACCUGCUAUGUACAGGGCCCUGUACUUCUCUUGUGUUACAGUAUAGCUCCAAUAAAUGAUUGUAUUAUGAUCCACCCUCCCAAAAAUGUGGUGUUCAAAAGCUGAACUUAGGAAACGUGACACAUACUGUGCCCUCAGUCAACACCUGUUUUCCUUGUUUUUCCCUGCUGUCAUCUAUUAUAGAGGUUGGAAUAUCUAAAAGUUCCCCAGUUUGCCUUACAAAUAAAAGUUGCUUGACAAGGUUCUGGCCAAUGAGAUGUAAAGAGAAAGUCACUGAUACCACACAGUCUCUUUCUAGUAUGCUCUGGAAGUGCUGCUUCAUUCACCCCAGGUGGUGGAGCUGAGAAGCCAGAAGACUCUUUGAAGGUGCUCUUGACCUACUGUACUAACUGUGGACCUCCUACUCGGGACUUCUUAUGGCAUAAAAUAUACACUCCUCUUCCUUGUUUAAAUGACCAUUUGCUGGGUUUCUGUUACUCUUGGCUGCAUGAGUUACUGACUCAGGAAAAAAAUUUGGCAAUAAGCAUGACAGUGGUCUUCAUAUUCCAAAUUGUGAUGAACAGUGUCUAAGACGGCCCACAAUGAUCCCCACCUCCUUCUCCGCCUUGUGUAGUUCCUCUUCCACUCUCUACCAGGGUCAGUUUCUGUGACCAAUAGGAAGUGGCAGAAGUGAGGGUUGUUGCUUCUGAAGUUAUAAAAGGUUACAUAUGCUGGGGUGCUCUCUCUCUGAUUCUUUGCUCUGGGGAAGUCAGCUACCAUGUUAUGUGAGCAGCUCUAUGGAAAGGUCCACAUCGUACAAAACUGGAGCCUCCUGCCAACAGGAGCUUGGAAGCUGACUCUGUGGUCCCUUCAGAUGAUGGCCAUCUCACAAGAGACCCUGAGACAAAGCCACCUAGUGGUGCCCCUUUCAGAUUCCUAACCCUCAAUAGUAAAUGUUUGUUGUUUUAAGCCACUAAAUUUUAGGGUGAUUUAUUACUUAGCAAUAGAGAACUAAGAAACAAAUGGAUUGAUUAUAGUAUCUAAAUGAUGUGCUUUAAAAAUACUCAAUUUAAAAAUAUUUUAUAGUUCUUUAAUAACACAUUUUGGUAUAGGAAAUGGAUAUAUCCUAUAUAUAUAUUGGUAACAUUUUUCAUAUUGAAAUAUAUGUCCUCAUAUGUUUGCUAUUAAAACUUUUUUGGCCUUCUUAAUGUUUAGGUGCUAUUUACUGACUAAUUGAAUAUGUGAUCUAGAUAGUGUUCUUUAUAUGAGUCAGAAAAUAUCCCAGCUUUCAUGGAAUUGCUACUCUGGUGUGGGAGGCAAAUAAUCGAACAAGUAAACAAAUAAGACAGUUUUAUAUAGGGCUGAUCAUUGGGAAGGAGAUAAAACCAUUAAAUGAUAGACUCAGGAUGAAGAUGGCUGGAUUUUGGAGAGAGUGACUUAUGCUAGGAGGGAACAUUGUUACUGAAAUCUGAAUGCUUAGAAGAGGCCAGAAAUGUAAAGGUUAUUCCAAGCAGAGCAUGCAGAGAGUGCAGAGGCUAGGAGGUGGGAAUUCUUAGCUUGCUUAAGCAAUUGAAGUAAGGCCAUUAUGGCUGAACCACAAUGAAUGAAGGAGAAUAGGAGGAGGGCCUGGUUCCUUGAAGGUGGCUUCUUAUUGCUAGAAACAAAGUAGGAGGGCCAAGCUUUGUAGGACACAGUAAGAAGUUCAAUGAAAGCCACUGGAGAGUUCUAAGCAGGGCAACAUCAUGAUUUGUGUAUUGACAACAAUCUGUGAGGCUGCUGGGUGCAGGAUAGAUAAUAGGGCAAGAGGAUGGAGAACAACUAGGAGGCAGUUGUGCUUAGCAUAUAUAGAAACUGUAUGAGUGAGUGUGUGAUAAGUGAAUGAAUGAAUAUGUCAGAGUCAAUCAAGAAUGACUAUAGUUUGGGUCAGUGUGAUGGCAGUGGAGGUGCAAUCAUGUGGACAGAUUUGCACUAUAUUUUGGAAGUAGAAACAGUAGAAGAACUUGAUAAUGCUUUGGAAAUUUGCAUCUGGAAAGGCAGUGAGGGAAAAAGCAGACUCAAGAAAAAAUAACUCCCACCAUUCUGAUUUAAGCAAUUGGGUAGAUGAACAUGCAUUUAUAAGUUGAGCAAGGACUGCGUGGGAGUAUAUUUGGGAGACAAAAGCUUUUGUUGGUUUUGAAAUAUCUGAUAUUUUCAUGUGAAGAUUGUAAUCAGAGAACUCAACUGGGUAUUUGACUACGUUGCUUAUAAGAGGGGUCAGGGCUAGAGAAAUACAUUGAGGAGCUGUCAUCAAUUUCUCAGAGAUUCAUAGUGCAGGCUAAUUUAUACAGGCUUUCAAAAUCAAGCUUCAUUGGCUGUGAAAUCUCGUCAUGCUAAAGGGAGCCAACAGACUGAGAUAAAAAUAUAUAGAUGCUAUUUAGAUCAUGCCACUGGAUGAGGUAUAGCUCUAGAAGAAGACAGAGCUAGUGGAGCUUAAGGGCGCUACAGCAUCACAACAAUGCUUUAACUUUGAUACCAUCAAAAUUGACGUCACUUUAGAAAAUGUUCUGAAUAGUUUCCAGGUCUUUGUAGAGCUCUCUUUUUUUCAAGGAAAUUGACAGAAUUUUGUAUCUUGGCUUAGCACUCUCUCCAGCAUUAGUCAUGUGGCUUUCUGUGUCUUCUUAGAAAUAAUAGUUCUCAUUUCUGGGAUUGUAGAUGGUUUUCUUGAAUUUAUUUUUAAAAUGUGUGGUAUUUUCAUAGAAAAGUAAUGCAGUAAUGUACCACUGGUACGGCACAUUGAUUAGACAUGCUUUUACUUCUUAAUACACCCAGUGUACAAAAAGGGAUCACAAGAGAAAAACAAAAGAAUUCUGCUACUCAAGAUCUUACAACACUGUGUGAUACGUAUCUGUUAGCAAUAAUAGGAAGCUACUUCACACUUCUGCAGUGAUCUGAAAACUGUCAGAUGCCUUUGAACUUGCCAUGUCUGCAUGCAGCUCCUGCACUUAUUUGAGUUACAUGAGGUUGCAUGUUCUUAUUGAGAGUUAAGAGUUCUCAUUUGAAAGUGGUCCAGUCUUGCAAAACUCUAACGAUGAAAGUAUCUCACUUACUGGAAGGCAAUGUAGAUGUCUGGGUCACCAAUUGAGAAUAAGUGACUUCGUGGAUGUUAAGCACCAAUAAGAGGCAGUUUCAGAUGGCUGGCCAGCUACCUCACACAGGAAUCUAAGACAGGAAGGCUGCAGUCAUGUGCAAUUUAAUGGCAAGUCUAGUAAGGAUGAUAAUUUCAAAGUAGUGAUGAAAGUAAAUGAUAUUUGGAGAUAUCUCCAAUAACAGUAAUAAGAGAUUAAAAUAUCCGUGGUUACUAUUGGUGACAAGGUGACUUGUUCUGCUCCUACAAUGGUGAUUUGCUGUCUACAUUCACAAUGAAAGGAAAGGCUAAAUGUCAGUUAGAAGUUUAAUGAAAAUAGGCUGGGCGUGGUGGCUCAUGCCUGUAAUCUCAGCACUUUGGGAGGCUGAGGCAGGCCGAUCACUUGAGGUCAGGAGUUUGAGACCAGCCUUGUCAACAUGGUGAAACCCCGUCUCUACUGAAAAUACAAAAAUUAGCCAGGCGUGGUGCCGGGUGCCUGUAAUCCCACCUACUUGGCAGGCUGAGGCAGGAGAAUCGCUUGAACCCGGGAGGCAGAGGUUGCAGUGAGCCAAGAUUGAACCACUGCACUCCAGCCUUGGGAACAGAGUGAGACUCCGUCUCAAAAAAAAAAAAAAAAGAAAUUUAGAAAAAAUAAAGAUGUGAUUUACUUUUCCCAUCCAUGUUUAUGCAUGCAUUUGCGGACCCCAGGUAAGAGCCCCUGGUUUAAGUGGAAAUUAAAGUAAUAUGCCUGAGUUAACAUGCUGUAGUUUGAGGGGAUCACUAUUCAUCUUUUCACUAUUUAUCUUUUCUUCCCCACCUGAUUUUAGGACAAACUGAGAGUAAAAGAUGCAGGAAUAAAACACAGAAAUCAAAAUAAAGGGUUUACUGCUGAAAAAUCCGCUUGAACAAGCCUGUUAAUGUGAUCUUCCUGAAUGAAGCCAGCUUACCCCUAGGCCUCCACUGUCCCUCAGGAAAGAGAACACGAAAACUGGAACUCUCUGCAGAAAGGAGGAUCCCAAAGAAGGGGCCAAGCUGUACAUUUAUCAAUCAGGAAAGCCACUCCACCCUCCAUGGCAGCCCCUACAAUUUGAAACAAGUAUUCUUCCUAACAUAACACAUUAAUUCAUGAGUUUAUCAGUUCAUUUCAUUUUUACUUUGAGAUUUUUGUGAAUAACCAUAGAAAAAUCUAUUUCACCUGGCAAUAAAUAGGAAAAGGCACAGCAUAAUGUUUAAAUACAGAGAAUAUUGUUACAUGUAAGAUGUUGAUUGAAUGUUCUAAAUACAAUUUGAAAACUGCGUGAGAGGAGGAAAACGUAUAUUCAGAAGGACUUAGGUGAAUCCAGAUGAAUAUUUUCAUGACAGGAUGUUGGCUAUUGAUAUGAAGAAAGUAGAGGAAUAGACUUGCUAAAAGUUAGAGGAGUCUAGUUUAUCUUCCAAGAAGCUUUGCAACCCUGUAAUACUGUAGAAAUCACAAAUUUGGCAAUAAUUUUAAGAUAAUUUAUGUUCAUUUUUUAUGGAAUGCCAUGUUUAUCUUUUUAUAUAUGACAUUUUCUGGUCAGUAGUAAUAUAUAUAUCCUUUAUUAAAAUUGGAAAAUAAAUACAAACAUUUUAUUUAUUUAUUGGUUAAAAAAUUAUUAUGCUCAUUCUUUUUUUUUUUAACCAGUAAGGAUCUGGAUAAAGAAAAACAUUUUAGAAAACCACUUGUAGAGUACCAUGAACCAGUCUCUCUUCUCCAUUUUAAAAAAUUUAUUGACUCACUUUUUUUCCAUAACUUUUUGAGAUAUUAUUUCAACCACUUUGCAUUUAGAGAAAAAGAGUCAGAGAGUGAUUAAGAAAUCUGCCCAAUGCUAUACUGAUAGAAGCUGGGAGAACUGGGAUUUGAGCUUACAUAGGCUAGUUCUAGCAUUUGUGAAGUUCUCGCCUAAUAAAAAUUAUCUGUAAUCAUAACCAGAGCAAGUCAUUUCUAACCUCCUGUCUAUAGACACGCGGAUACAUUUGUAAUGUUUUUGUUUGUUUGUUUUUAGCACGACAGAUCAAUUCCUGCUGGCAUUAUAGUUCUUUAACUAUCAUAGCUUCUCUGAUUUUUCAACACAUCUGUCAUCCGUAUUCUGCAGGCAUAGCCAACUCUGUCAGUGUCUCCUCAGGCAAUCAGAAUCAACAGACAGAAUGUAGGACAGAAAACUGGCUGCAAACAUGUUGGAAGGGCUGGAGGAGCGAAAGAGGGAAGAUCUGUUACCUAGAGAUAGUAACUUCCAGAAGUUACCACUAUACUAGUGCAGGAGAAGCAGAAAGGAAGAUGCUGCUACCCAGAGCCCACAGUCAUUGUGCCCCUGAUGCCGCUGGAACCCCACUGCAGCUGCUUUACAGGAAGCAGGGAAUUAGCGCUCUUGCUGAUGCUACAGGUAUCCAGGAUCCAAAAGUCAUCAGCCGCUGUCCCUGUUGCAGCCUAGGGAAACUGUCCCACUGAGGUUGUUGGGGUACCUGCUACUGCAUCUACUGUCUGAACCAUGUUGCCUGAGCAGAUGUCCAGGGCUCAGGCUUGCCUGCUGCUGUUACUGCUGCCACCAUGUUUAUCAGAGCUACUUCAAGAAGAGAAGAAAUCCUCCUCAUUUCCAGUUUUUUCCAGUGCCUCCCAUUGCUUCCCAGAAUGCCAAAUUCUCUUUGAGAGACAGCUGAAAGGAAGGUUUGGAAAAGACUCUGGUGUAAGCAGAUUCUGCUUCCCUGCAAUAGGGGGAAAGCAUAGGGUGGAACUGGAGCUGAGAGCUAAUCACGAAUGAGCAAAUCAGUCUUCAAGACAUUUACCUUUCCUUGAAACGUUUCCCUUCUUUUACCGUGUUUUCCAUGUCAUUAUUUUUCCACAAUUCUGCAUCAUAUUCUGUUAACUAUUAAUGCCCUGGAUAAGUUUAUUUGCUCUUUCUUAGGGUUAAUUUUUCUCCUUUUCUUCGAAGCUUUAGUUUGCAGGUUCAGCUUGUGUGGGAAUUUUCAUCUCCCUCCUCUUCAAGACUCCUUGGAUAUCAGUUUUUUGGUUGCCUUCACCAACUCUCCCCCCACCAUCUCUAGACCAGGGCAUGGUCUUAGUUGGUGGCUUGGACUCCUGUGGCUUGGAGUCUUUGGGGAUAUUAGAGAUCCAGUCACUGAGCUGGCAAAGGGAACACUGUCCUUGCUUCCAGCUUUAUGAAGAACGCUUUGCUCUGUCACCCCACGUGAGUCCAACUCUUGGCUGCCUACACUGCCUGAGGCUUCAGUUCUGGCAUCGUGCUGCAUGUGAUCUAUUAUCCUGCUUUUGAAUAUGCCUAUGACUUUUCUUUAUAUAUUUUUAAAAAUGUUAUUAUUGGUAUGUUUACAGUGAAGGGAAGAAUGUGAAGCAUGAACUCAAGAGUCACAGUAAUGAUAAAUUUUAAUGAUUGUAAUUGUCCUAUCUGUCAUAAUACAUUUAUUUUGUUGAUUUGUUUGGAUUUUCUAGGUAAAUAAUCAUGUUAUUCAAGGAUAAUGAAUGCAGCCACCAUGUAAUCAUCACUGACUCCAUGGCCAUGAGAAAAGAGACCUAAGAAAUGAUGCCCAUCCAGAAGAGUGAAGACUUCCUGAAAAUGUUCUUUUAACCUAAGAUGUAGGUUAAGAGGAGUGAAAAAAUGUUCUGUUUCUGACUGAUGAUGGAGCAACAAAGGUAUGUUUCUUAUUAAUAACACUGAGCAGUUAGGAAGCAGAUGUGCCUCUCCAGGGAAACUCACAAGUGUCCACUGACCUAGUAUCUGCGGAGAACCAUAGCAGUUGUGGUCUCUCUCCCCAGCUUCAAGCAAGGGCAACUUUUCCCUGUGUCUGGUUCUUUUGCUGUCACCUGAAGCCACAGAAAAUGAUCUGAACCUGCUCAGUCCCUGGACAUAUCUGGGGAAUACAAAGUCUCAGAGUCGCUCUCUAAGAAUUGCCAGCAUGUUCUAGAGAUUCUUUAGAUGCAUAGCUGCAUGGAGCAAAACAGGGUCAGGGGAUGUGUGCCGAGGCCAAGGUCUUCUCUUAUGUUUCAAAAAUAUUAACAUUUCAGGCCUGUCUUCUUUUAAAGGAUAGCUCAUGUAUAUGAUUUUUUAAAAAAAAAUCUACCAAAUCAAAUAAAGAAGUCCUGGGAGUUCACCCGGUGUUUUCUACAGAACCAAGGUAUUCAUAUUGAGAUCCUUCAAUAUAAUCAGCUAUGUGACCUUGGUUAAGUUAAUUAAUGCCUCUGAAACUGAGGUUCCUCAUCUGUGAAAUGGAGAUAUUCAACAAAGCACCCUGUGGGGAUUAGAUGAGAUUGCACAUCUGACUGCCUAGAGUAUAGUAAGGGGUCACUGUUUCCUCUUCACUCCUCAGGAAAAUUUGAUUGAACAAGGAUAGAAACUUUGAUUCUAGGGACAGAAGGUCUUCAGAAGUCUUUGAGGCCAGAGGGCCUGUCAUAGAACUGCAGUGUAGGUUCAUUAAAACGCUGUCAUCCUAAUGUUUAUCCACAGUAUCUAAUAGAUUUAAAAGGAAGACAAUAUGGCACAGACUAUUUCGGAAACCUAUGCCCAUUCUGCCAAGAGGAUAUCGCUAUUGGUGGUCAGACUAUUUCACUUAUAAGGUUUCUUUUUUCCUUAAGUCAUAAAGAUUAACAUUUACUAAAAAUUUGAGGGUCCAUUAAUGGACUCCCACAUGGCUUUCCUCUUUCCUUUGAGCUGGAUUCAUUUUCACUGAGUCCCGAGUCCUGCACAUCUGACAAUUGCUUCAGACCUUGGACAUGCUUGAAUUAUUUUAUGCAAAUCAUUUGAAAAGGCAAAGUACCACUGUUCUUUCUUGAGUUUCUUCGUAAACUGGUUUCUAAUUUAUCUGCUGCUUUUUCUCGAUCCAAUUUGUGCCUAUGUCUUACUAUAGAUUCUUUGGAAAUAAAGAAAUAAAGAAUAUAUCUGUAGCUAUUUUGUUAAACUAAGAAUGUUUUAAAAUAUUUUAUUGUAAAAUAAAAUUCCUUUGUUCUCUCAGAA